AGUCGCGUGGUCUAAUGGUUAUGAUUUCUCGUUCACAAAUUUCUUGUGUCCAAAUAAGUUUCCGACUUCCGAGAAGGUUCCGUGUUCGAUCCACGGCGUGACUA